rnacentral:lncRNA from 1 species
GAUUCAAACUCUUCCAACCCUCGAGUGUCUGUUGUUUAAUGACAAAAACAACUUCUCAAAUAACCAAGGGGCAAAGGCCCUCAAAAGAGAAGUUACCAGAUGACAAGCAAACAAAUAAGCAGAAGAAUCAUCUAUAUGUACUAACAAGACUUUCAGAUUUGCCAUUUCCCCAAGAUAUUCAGGUAAGGAUCCAUUCAUAUUGCAACUCCUCAAAAUC